rnacentral:rRNA from 1 species
AUUGAACGCUAGCGGGAUGCUUUACACAUGCAAGUCGAACGAGUGGCGGACGGGUGAGUAAUAUAUCGGAACGUGCCCAGUAGCGGGGGAUAACUACUCGAAAGAGUGGCUCAUACCGCAUACUUUUGGUGCGGCCGAUAUCGGAUUAGCUAGUUGGUGGGGUAAAGGCUCACAAAGGCAACGAUCCGUAGCUGGUUUGAGAGGACGACCAGCAAGACUGGGAAUAAGACACGGCCCAGACUCCUACGGUAGGCAGCAGUAGGGAAUAUUGGACAAUGGGGGAAACCCUGAUCCAGCCAUCCCGCGUGUAUAAGAAGGCCUUCGGGUUGGAAAGUAAUUUUGGCAGAGAAGCGGUAUCUGCAGAAUAAACACCGGCUAACGACGUGCCAGCCGCCGCGGUAAUAC